GUCUAAGGUCGUAGGAGGUUAUACAGGCAAAUCCGUAUAACAAUACUCCGAGAACUGAAAGGCUUUUUGAAGUCUUCGGAUGGAUAGAAGAACCCCUGAUGCCGUCGAGCCAAGAAAAGUUUCUAAGUUUAGCUAAUGUUGCCCGUACCGUAAACCGACACAGGUGGGUGGGAUGAGUAUUCUAAGGCGCGUGGAAGAACUCUCUUUAAGGAACUCUGCAAAAUAGCACCGUAUCUUCGGUAUAAGGUGUGGUUAGCUUUGUAUUAGGAUUUACUCCGAAAGCAAGGAAACUUACAACAAAGAGUCCCUCCCGACUGUUUACCAAAAACACAGCACUCUGCUAACUCGUAAGAGGAUGUAUAGGGUGUGACGCCUGCCCGGUGCUCGAAGGUUAAUUGAUGGGGUUAGCAUUAGCGAAGCUCUUGAUCGAAGCCCGAGUAAACGGCGGCCGUAACUAUAACGGUCCUAAGGUAGCGAAAUUCCUUGUCGGUUAAAUACCGACCUGCAUGAAUGGCGUAACGAGAUGGGAGCUGUCUCAAAGAGGGAUCCAGUGAAAUUGUAGUGGAGGUGAAAAUUCCUCCUACCCGCGGCAAGACGGAAAGACCCCGUGGACCUUUACUACAGCUUGACACUGCUACUUGGAUAAGAAUGUGCAGGAUAGGUGGGAGGCUUUGAGUAUAUGACGCCAGUUGUAUAUGAGCCAUUGUUGAGAUACCACUCUUUCUUAUUUGGGUAGCUAACCAGCUUGAGUUAUCCUCAAGUGGGACAAUGUCUGGUGGGUAGUUUGACUGGGGCGGUCGCCUCCCAAAUAAUAACGGAGGCUUACAAAGGUUGGCUCAGAACGGUUGGAAAUCGUUCGUAGAGUAUAAAGGUAUAAGCCAGCUUAACUGCAAGACAUACAAGUCAAGCAGAGACGAAAGUCGGUCUUAGUGAUCCGGUGGUUCUGUGUGGAAGGGCCAUCGCUCAAAGGAUAAAAGGUACCCCGGGGAUAACAGGCUGAUCUCCCCCAAGAGCUCACAUCGACGGGGAGGUUUGGCACCUCGAUGUCGGCUCAUCGCAUCCUGGGGCUGGAGCAGGUCCCAAGGGUAUGGCUGUUCGCCAUUUAAAGCGGUACGCGAGCUGGGUUCAGAACGUCGUGAGACAGUUCGGUCCCUAUCUGCCGUGGGCGUAAGAAGAUUGAAGAGAUUUGACCCUAGUACGAGAGGACCGGGUUGAACAAACCACUGGUGUAGCUGUUGUUCUGCCAAGAGCAUCGCAGCGUAGCUAAGUUUGGAAAGGAUAAACGCUGAAAGCAUCUAAGCGUGAAGCCAACUCUAAGAUGAAUCUUCUCUAAGCUCUCUAGAAGACUACUAGUUUGAUAGGCUGGGUGUGUAAUGGAUGAAAGUCCUUUAGCUGACCAGUACUAAUAGAGCGUUUGGCUUAUCUUUAAUAAAGCAU
rnacentral:rRNA from 1 species